rnacentral:misc_RNA from 1 species
CAAAAAUAUUCCAACAAACUUUUAGUACAAGUUCACGAGACACUCAUUUUAGCAUCUUUUAUCUUAUUAUAAAAAGCCACACAAAUAUUAGGUCUAACAUAAUAUCAAAAAAUAAAAAUUGAAAAAAUUUGUUUGUGAAAAUUAAUGGCAAACUCCAUGCGUUUAUUUGCUACUAUGUUACUUCUAGCAAUGCUUGUCAUGGCUACUGGACCAAUGAGAAUUGUUGAGGCAAGAACUUGUGAGUCUCAGAGUCAUCGUUUCAAAGGACCAUGUGUGAGUGAGAAGAAUUGUGCCUCGGUAUGUGAGACCGAAGGAUUUUCCGGUGGUGAUUGUCGUGGAUUCCGUCGCCGUUGCUUUUGCACCAAGCCAUGCUAAAUAAAUAAUUUUGAUUUUUAUGUGUAAAAGAAGAAGUUUGAGAAGAAAAAAAAUAUUAUGUAAUUUUGAAUAAAGAUGUAUUGUAAUGCUAGUUUUGUUUGUAAAAACUAGUUGUGAUCUUUGAAUUUGUAUGCAAUUAUGGUGCACUAGACUUGUAAUUCUUCAUGUGGUGUAUUUUUAUUUUUAUUUUUGAAAUAUUAUAGAUAAAAUUUGUCUUUUAGCCUUUUUGUUAGUAAGUUUUAAUAAAAUAUUCUUCGAUGCGG